CUCAGAGCUCAUUGCGCCCAGGGGAAGCUCCUGCUGGUGGAGGAGGGCCCUUUGUGAUCAGGGAGUAGAGAGGGUCUGGCAGGGUCCUGCAGAUAGAGCAAGUACCCAGGUGCGGCUCUGAUUCUAUGUGGAAAACCAGGCCUUCACUUCCUUUCUUUCUCUGUGUUUCUGGUUCAUGCAGACCAUGCUUCUGUGGAGCUGGGGAAGGUGUCAGGGUGGGUUGUCCUGCACAGAGAGGCUUCCUGUUUGGGAGGUCCUACUUUAUCAAUUUGCUGGAACCUCUGUACAUCAUCUCAGGCAGGACUCUCGCCUUCCUCCACUUACAGACACCGGCAGUGUCAUGUGGCAACAGUGUUUUAUCCCCAAGGUCGAGUGUGUGGCCCUGUUCUGCUGUCUGGGCACCCGGUGGAGGGGAGGGUGCCCUGUGCUGACAGCUGCUGCAUUGGGUUUCAGGUUCUGUAGGUGUUGUUCCUUUUGUCUGUCAUCCAACACAGCUCUCUCUUCUGUUCUGCAGGUCACUGUGGAUUCCCGAUGUCCCGGUACUUGUGCAGGACCACUUGGUGUGCCUCACCCGAUGGAACACCCAGCAUCACUUCUCAGAGGCUAUUCAUCACCACCACCCCCACCUCUGUUGUGGCCUAUGCGGUCUCACCCACCGCCACCACCACCACCACCAGUUACAGCACUCGCACAGUCCAUUUGCCACAUGAAGGGGCCCCUCAGCUGUGGCAAUGAUGUGUUUAGAGAAGAUGUCAGAGGUGCAUUACGGCCCGAAUGUUUCCCUGCUCCAACCUGCCCCCUCUGCUGUUCUCUCCUAUUGUCACCCCUAAUGAAAUUGUCACAGUUC